rnacentral:lncRNA from 1 species
CCCCUCACACGUCGCUUUCCUUGGCCAGUUCGGUCGCCUCGCCUAGCUGAAGCCUGGAGCCAAGCAACAAGUAGCAUUAGCUUAGCUGACACGAAUAACACAGAGUGCUAGUACUUGUAUAUAUACACGCAUAGUAAUAUAGUAUGAUACGUUGGGCUUGGCACGGCAUGUGAAAGACCUGCCGGUUCCAGCUGACAUGAAGCGAAACGGCCAGGCAGAAAAGCUCGUGUAUGUAGCCGCGCGCCGUGCCAAGGCCAAAACGCAAGCCUUUGAGCUAGGACGGCCAAGAAGCCAGAGCCCCGCAUGGCCAUCCACGUCGCUCUCGUGGGCACGAUCCAUCUCCGCGUUCUCACGGCCGGAGAUAAGUGUUCCCUCCCGUCCCGUCCCGUCCCGUCCCGUCCCUUUUUAGCAGAAAGAAAAGCUGCCAGGGUUAAUUAGGGGACCGCACCUGAUGACUACUUUGGUAAAUCCUCUUCGGGGUCGAAGUGGAUUAGGUGAAAAUCAGCUAAUUUUCUCUCCAAUCACCUUCAAUCUCGAAGAUGAUUUGAGUUUUCAAACUCUUGCUCGAGAGGUGUGGUGGCCCAUCGUGCCGUGGCAUGUGCACAUGUAUUCCUCGGGGGCAUGGAUGCGCC